rnacentral:rRNA from 1 species
UACGGAAGGCAGCAGGGGGGAAUAUUGCACAAUGGGCGCAAGCCUGAUGCAGCCAUGCCGCGUGUAUGAAGAAGGCCUUCGGGUUGUAAAGUACUUUCAGUCGUGAGGAAGGUGUUAAGGUUAAUAACCUUAGCAAUUGACGUUAGCGACAGAAGAAGCACCGGCUAACUCCGUGCCAGCAGCCGCGGUAAUACGGAGGGUGCGAGCGUUAAUCGGAAUUACUGGGCGUAAAGGGCACGCAGGCGGUUAAUUAAGUUGGAUGUGAAAUCCCCGGGCUUAACCUGGGAAUGGCAUUCAAGACUGGUUAGCUAGAGUCUUGUAGAGGGGGGUGAAAUUCCAUGUGUAGCGGUGAAAUGCGUAGAGAUGUGGAGGAAUACCGGUGGCGAAGGCGGCCCCUGGACAAAGACUGACGCUCAUGUGCGAAAGCGUGGGGAGCGAAACAGGGAUUAGAUACC